rfam:Proteobacteria bacterium SG_bin9 7969, whole genome shotgun sequence.
UCGGGCUCACGGCAGACGCCCGGCAUUCCCAAGACGAGCUUCCAGACGAAUAUCGUCCAAGCGCUGC